rnacentral:lncRNA from 1 species
UAUAUGCUUGGAAGAGCAUUGACAUCAGUUUUCUGGGGAAUAGUGGCUGAUCGCUAUGGUCGAAAACCUGUCAUAAUAAUAGGAACUAUUGCAGUGUUAGUAAAUGCAAAUUUGGAAAUGAGUUCAUAUAUAAUUUUCUGCAGUUAUUAGAGAUGGAUGUUUUCUGGCAGACAGUUGACAUGUGCAUAUUGAUUCUCUCAGGGUUGUUUUCAAUACUCUCUUUGGACUCAGUGUAAACUUUUGGAUGGCUAUUGCUACACGAUUUCUUCUUGGAAGUUUAAAUGGUUUGUUUGGACCAAUAAAGGUAUCACAUUGUACUAUAUACUAUUAAUAAUGAUGUAAUUACAGGCUCGUCUAUAUUCAUGGGUUAGUUUUCUUAUUUGAUUUACCUGAAUUACCAGGCAUAUGCAAGUGAAGUCUUUCGGGAAGAACACCAAGCGUUAGGGAUGUCAACAGUAAGUCAUGUUGGUUAUUUUAUAUACAAGUUGAAAUUGUACAAUUACUAUACCAGAGUCAAAACUAUUGAGUUUCAGGUUAGCACAGCAUGGGGUAUCGGAUUGAUCAUUGGUCCAGCUUUGGGAGGAUUCUUUGCCCAGGUAAUUCUACUUGUUGUAACUUCAGGCGAACAAAUACACUUAUAAAUACUAUAUUCUGAGUAUGUGUGUGUGUGAAGCAGUAAAGUCAUGUUGGAAUACAAACUUGUUGAUGUUCUGGCUUGCUUGUGUUGAAUUUUUGUGAACUUAUUUUGAUUCCAUAAGGAAAAGCAUCAUGUCAUUGGUUUUUUACGAGAGCCUAUUCGGCGCACCCGGGUGCGCGGCGCACUCGUCAUCUCCACCGUUUUAAUUUUUUUUUUUAGCGGGUCAAAAUGGACGGUGGAUACACCUGGAUGCGCGGCGCACCCGGGGGCGCUGUAUAAUUUUCAGUUUUUUACCUAUAAUGGAGUAUUGUGAUUCCACAUUAAUAAAUCUAGUAUGAGUGAAACAGUGGAAGAAUGUCUCAUCAUUUUGAUUAUUUAAAGCCUAUUUUGGUUUUGUAAGUUAUUAAAAUAGGGUGGCACAGUUGACGGAGAACAGGUACAUCCGUACGUAUUUCCAUGAUAUGUUUUGGUUCAGUUCAGUAUCGGAAAAGUGGUACUUUUAAUGAGUAGGAUAGAAGGAGCAAGUAAUAAGUGAUCGUCUCUUGCUAGCUAUCAUUCCCAAUUGUUGUGGGAAAGUUAGAUAAUUUUCAGAACAUAUGUUUUCUGUGUCAAUCCCCAAGAGCUAUAUAUGUUAAGCACAUUCUAUUUACCAAGGAGCUUUUAAUUAAGUUUUUUUUUUUUUUUCUUUUUUUUCUGGGGCUUGCAACAAGCACAUUCUAUUCUUUUAAAGUGGUGACUUUUAAAACUAUUAGACAACGAGAUUUAAACAUGCUCUAUUUUUUCCUAUUCGACUCAUUAUAUCACAUGUUUCUAAAUUUUCUUUUUAAUUCAGCCAGCAGAGAAAUAUCCCACUAUUUUUCCCCAGACUCUAUAUUCGGGAGGUAAGUGAGUUUCAGACUCAUUCCUUGAGUGAAGUGAAGUUAGACAAUCAAAUUUCCGCAUUUGUGUUUGUUUGAUGGUUUUAACAUGUCGAACUGUGAUGCAGGUUUCCGUACUUCUUACCUUGCCUUUGUAUAUCGAUUUUUGNNNNNNNNNNNNNNNNNNNNUAUAUAUAUAUAUAUAUAUAUAUAAUGUAUAUAUAUUGUGUGGCACAUGCUUGCAUAAGGACUUGUUGAAACUACAAGUUGUAGCUAAUCUCUUAUCUGGAUGGUUGCAGGAAACCUUACACAAUCACAAUGAAAAUGCCAGAUUACAUGAUGAUUCCUUUGAAGCACUGGAGUCUUCAUCCUGUGGGUCAGUUGCAAAUGAAAUGAAACCAAAAACUGAAGAACAAAUACCUAAAGAAAACCUCAUGAAGAAUUGGCCUUUAA